rnacentral:ncRNA from 2 species
AUGAUCGCAGGGAAUGGAGUCUCCCGCAGACCGCGCCACCGCUGAUGACUCCUGCCAAUGG